rnacentral:rRNA from 1 species
AGAGUUUGAUUAUGGCUCAGGAUGAACGCUGGCGGCGUGCCUAACACAUGCAAGUCGAACGAAGCAUACGGACUGGAGAUUCGUCGAAGGACCGUAUGACUUAGUGGCGGACGGGUGAGUAAUGUAUGAGCAACCUGCCUUUCAGAGGGGGACAACAGUUGGAAACGACUGCUAAUACCGCGUAACGUAUCGUGGGGGCAUCCUCGUGAUACCAAAGGAGCAAUCCGCUGAAAGAUGGGCUCAUAUCUGAUUAGCUUGUUGGCGGGGUAACGGCCCACCAAGGCGACGAUCAGUAGCCGGACUGAGAGGUUGAACGGCCACAUUGGGACUGAGAUACGGCCCAGACUCCUACGGGAGGCAGCAGUGGGGAAUAUUGGGCAAUGGGCGAAAGCCCUGACCCAGCAACGCCGCGUGAAGGAAGAAGGUCUUCGGAUUGUAAACUUCUUUAUGAGGGACGAAGGACGUGACGGUACCUCAUGAAUAAGCCACGGCUAACUACGUGCCAGCCGCCGC